AGAGCGAACGCUGGCGGCAGGCCUAACACAUGCAAGUCGAGCGCCCGUAGCAAUACGGGAGCGGCAGACGGGAUAGUAACACGUGGGAACGCGCCCUUCGGUUCGGAAUAACUCAGGGAAACUUGAGCUAAUACCGGAUACGCCCUUACGGGGAAAGAUUUAUUGCCGAAGGAACGGCCCGCGUCCGAUUAGCUAGUUGGUGAGGUAAUGGCUCACCAAGGCGACGAUCGGUAGCUGGUCUGAGAGGAUGACCAGCAUCACUGGGACUGAGACACGGCCCAGACUCCUACGGGAGGCAGCAGUGGGGAAUAUUGGACAAUGGGCGCAAGCCUGAUCCAGCCAUGCCGCGUGGAUGAUGAAGGCCUUAGGGCUGUAAAGUCCUUUUAACGGGGAAGAUAAUGACGGUACCCGUAGAAUAAGCCCGGCUAACUUCGUGCCAGCAGCCGC
rnacentral:rRNA from 1 species